CGUGAUAGGAAUAAUACUCUCCAUGAACAUGUCUACGAAUUAUGUCACACCACUCACGGCUGUAAGAGGUUAGGCGAAACAGGAAGUGUCGAUCGUCUGUCAUUUUAAAAGGAUGCAACAUUCAAGAUGGAAUGCGAAGUUGCGUAAUGUGGAACAUCAUCCUCAUAAAUCGGAUGAUGAUAGUAGCACGCAUUGCUAGGAUGUCUUGGUGGACCAAAAUAAAGUUCCUCUACAGAAGCUGGCGCGUCAUAUCCUGGUUCCCUUAUAGGUGGUCCAUAACUAAAUUCGUGGUUAUAGAAACGCACGUGAAGAUAUUUACCAGUACUCGGCUUCUGGUCUGACAUCCUGUUCACGUCGCCGAUUUGAACGUUGCUGAAGCUGAGGAUGAGGUUGAGGAUAAGGAUAAGACAUAGAGGCGAUACUGUGCCUGCGUAAAUAAGCAUAGUUCUCCAAAUCCCAAGGAUCGACGUAUUGCCUUCCACUUCUGGAAUUCGAAUCGCCAGAACUACCGCCAGAAGACACUUUGUCUUGAUGAAACUAAGCGAGGAUAGCACUGCCUGCAUCGCGGCCGUGCUUUCCCUUGAGUCUCUCUUGAGUGCUGUGGCUCUUCUGCCACUCUCCUUGGCUCGUCCAGUGAAACUAAAGUUUCACACCUGCAGCGUAAACGCCCCUCCGCUUCGAAAGACAUAUAAGAUUUAUAUUGUUGGCAUAUACCUCUGGGGAUAAAAUCAUUUAUGGCAAAGAAACAAGAUACUUGGAUAAAUUCAGGUCAACAAUUUUUAGUAAAAGUUACACGACGUUAUUCGUGUAAUUAAGAAUAGUG